AUUGAACGCUGGCGGCAUGCCUUACACAUGCAAGUCGAACGGCAGCGCGGGGCAACCUGGCGGCGAGUGGCGAACGGGUGAGUAAUAUAUCGGAACAUACCCUAGAGUGGGGGAUAACGUAGCGAAAGUUACGCUAAUACCGCAUACGAUCUAAGGAUGAAAGCAGGGGAUCGCAAGACCUUGUGCUCCUGGAGCGGCCGAUAUCUGAUUAGCUAGUUGGUGGGGUAAAGGCCCACCAAGGCAACGAUCAGUAGCUGGUCUGAGAGGACGACCAGCCACACUGGAACUGAGACACGGUCCAGACUCCUACGGGAGGCAGCAGUGGGGAAUUUUGGACAAUGGGGGCAACCCUGAUCCAGCAAUGCCGCGUGAGUGAAGAAGGCCUCGG
rnacentral:rRNA from 1 species